rnacentral:rRNA from 1 species
CACGUAGGCACCAAGCGUUGUCCGGAUUUAUUGGGCGUAAAGAGCUCGUAGGCGGUUGAGUAAGUCGGGUGUGAAAACUCUGGGCUUAACCCAGAGCCGCCACCCGAUACUGCUCUGACUUGAGUUCGGUAGGGGAGCAGGGAAUUCCUAGUGUAGCGGUGAAAUGCGCAGAUAUUAGGAGGAACACCGGUGGCCGAAGGCGCUGCUCUGGGCCGAUACUGACGCUGAGGAGCGAAAGCGUGGUAGCAACGAG